AUAGUGAACCAGUACCGUGAGGGAAAGGCGAAAAGAACCCCGGCGAGGGGAGUGAAAAAGAACCUGAAACCGUGUACGUACAAGCAGUGGGAGCCUCUUUUAUGGGGUGACUGCGUACCUUUUGUAUAAUGGGUCAGCGACUUAUAUUCUGUAGCAAGGUUAACCGUAUAGGGGAGCCGCAGGGAAACCGAGUCUUAACUGGGCGUUAAGUUGCAGGGUAUAGACCCGAAACCCGGUGAUCUAGCCAUGGGCAGGUUGAAGGUUGGGUAACACUAACUGGAGGACCGAACCGACUAAUGUUGAAAAAUUAGCGGAUGACUUGUGGCUGGGGGUGAAAGGCCAAUCAAACCGGGAGAUAGCUGGUUCUCCCCGAAAGCUAUUUAGGUAGCGCCUCGUGAACUCAUCUUCGGGGGUAGAGCACUGUUUCGGCUAGGGGGUCAUCCCGACUUACCAACCCGAUGCAAACUACGAAUACCGAAGAAUGUUAUCACGGGAGACACACGGCGGGUGCUAACGUCCGUCGUGAAGAGGGAAACAACCCAGACCGCCAGCUAAGGUCCCAAAGUCAUGGUUAAGUGGGAAACGAUGUGGGAAGGCACAGACAGCCAGGAUGUUGGCUUAGAAGCAGCCAUCAUUUAAAGAAAGCGUAAUAGCUCACUGGUCGAGUCGGCCUGCGCGGAAGAUGUAACGGGGCUAAACCAUGCACCGAAGCUGCGGCAGCGACGCUUAUGCGUUGUUGGGUAGGGGAGCGUUCUGUAAGCCGUUGAAGGUGGCCUGUGAGGGUUGCUGGAGGUAUCAGAAGUGCGAAUGCUGACAUAAGUAACGAUAAAGCGGGUGAAAAGCCCGCUCGCCGGAAGACCAAGGGUUCCUGUCCAACGUUAAUCGGGGCAGGGUGAGUCGACCCCUAAGGCGAGGCCGAAAGGCGUAGUCGAUGGGAAACAGGUUAAUAUUCCUGUACUCGGUGUUACUGCGAAGGGGGGACGGAGAAGGCUAUGUUAGCCGGGCGACGGUUGUCCCGGUUUAAGCAUGUAGGCGGGAAGUUUAGGUAAAUCCGGACUUCUUUUAACGCUGAGGUGUGAUGACGAGGCACUACGGUGCUGAAGUAACAAAUGCCCUGCUUCCAGGAAAAGCCUCUAAGCAUCAGGUAACAACGAAUCGUACCCCAAACCGACACAGGUGGUCAGGUAGAGAAUACCAAGGCGCUUGAGAGAACUCGGGUGAAGGAACUAGGCAAAAUGGUGCCGUAACUUCGGGAGAAGGCACGCUGAUGGUAGGUGAAGCGACUUGCUCGUGGAGCUGAAAUCAGUCGAAGAUACCAGCUGGCUGCAACUGUUUAUUAAAAACACAGCACUGUGCAAACACGAAAGUGGACGUAUACGGUGUGACGCCUGCCCGGUGCCGGAAGGUUAAUUGAUGGGGUUAUCCGUAAGGAGAAGCUCUUGAUCGAAGCCCCGGUAAACGGCGGCCGUAACUAUAACGGUCCUAAGGUAGCGAAAUUCCUUGUCGGGUAAGUUCCGACCUGCACGAAUGGCGUAAUGAUGGCCAGGCUGUCUCCACCCGAGACUCAGUGAAAUUGAACUCGCUGUGAAGAUGCAGUGUACCCGCGGCAAGACGGAAAGACCCCGUGAACCUUUACUAUAGCUUGACACUGAACAUUGAGCCUUGAUGUGUAGGAUAGGUGGGAGGCUUUGAAGUGUGGACGCCAGUCUGCAUGGAGCCAACCUUGAAAUACCACCCUUUAAUGUUUGAUGUUCUAACGUAGACCCGUGAUCCGGGUUGCGGACAGUGUCUGGUGGGUAGUUUGACUGGGGCGGUCUCCUCCCAAAGAGUAACGGAGGAGCACGAAGGUUAGCUAAUCCUGGUCGGACAUCAGGAGGUUAGUGCAAUGGCAUAAGCUAGCUUGACUGCGAGCGUGACGGCGCGAGCAGGUGCGAAAGCAGGUCAUAGUGAUCCGGUGGUUCUGAAUGGAAGGGCCAUCGCUCAACGGAUAAAAGGUACUCCGGGGAUAACAGGCUGAUACCGCCCAAGAGUUCAUAUCGACGGCGGUGUUUGGCACCUCG
rnacentral:rRNA from 1 species